GACGAACGCUGGCGGCGUGCUUAACACGUGCAAGUCGAACGGAAAGGCCCUGCUUUUGUGGGGUGCUCGAGUGGCGAACGGGUGAGUAACACGUGAGUAACCUGCCCUUGACUUUGGGAUAACUUCAGGAAACUGGGGCUAAUACCGGAUAGGAGCUCCUGCUGCAUGGUGGGGGUUGGAAAGUUUCGGCGGUUGGGGAUGGACUCGCGGCUUAUCAGCUUGUUGGUGGGGUAGUGGCUUACCAAGGCUUUGACGGGUAGCCGGCCUGAGAGGGUGACCGGCCACAUUGGGACUGAGAUACGGCCCAGACUCCUACGGGAGGCAGCAGUGGGGAAUAUUGCACAAUGGGCGGAAGCCUGAUGCAGCAACGCCGCGUGCGGGAUGACGGCCUUCGGGUUGUAAACCGCUUUCGCCUGUGACGAAGCGUGAGUGACGGUAAUGGGGAAAGAAGCACCGGCUAACUACGU
rnacentral:rRNA from 1 species